rnacentral:ncRNA from 1 species
UACAAACUUUAGGGGUGCCCAACUGCUGGGCUGAGAUCAUACCCUUUGAACCUGAUGCGGGUCAUACCGACGAAGGAAAAAGUGUUCCAUACCCA